ACUGGGAUGUGCUUAACCAUGUGCUGCCCAGAAGGGAUUACGGCAAUAAUGAAAGGAAAUUGCGACUCAGUCUGAAGAAUGCCCUGCCUGUGCUAGCAUGGCAAAUGAGGAGACUGAAGCAGAAAAAAUAUAAUCACAAGCAGAGUUGGGGGGUGUUUUCAAAUGGUUGCAAAUCCUCAGCUCAUGUGAUAAAAGAUGCUGACAUUAAUAUUCUGGUGUGCAAGCUCAUUCCUUCAGCCAGCUGUGAGGCAGAGGCUCUGCGACCGAGGUGAGACUACUGCAAUGUGCAACGUGUACGGGGUCCUCCGAAAGGCUGAUCUGUUACUUGCACCUUGAGCAAAUUGUGGCAGCUUGACUGUUUCCAUGGGUGAGCGGAAGUGGCUCUGUUUUCUCGCUGCUGCGUUCAAUUUACUGGCUGCCUCGGAAGGUUCAGAGCAGGCCCAGGGUUUGACUGUUAACUAUU